UCAAUUCACAAUAGCUUGUGAACUUGACAUGAUAAAUGUAUUAUCUGCUGCAGAUAUUAUAUUGGUCAUGUCAUUAUUUAAGUAUUAGUUAUUGUCGCUAAAACAGAUUUGUUUGUUUACCUAGCCGAUCGUAAGUCGAUAAUCAAAUGUUCGGGAUGCCCGAAACACGAAGAUUUGACGUCAUGGUAAAGCAACCAAUUAGAAGAGUGGUCGAGCUGUCACGUGUACACUCCGAUCGAAGCAGUUUCAUCGAUUCAACGGCGGAGGCCAGGGAGGACUCACGCGAAUUUCUUCCAGGAAUUUGGUUCUUUAAAACUCUCGUACGGGAAUAAAGUAGAGGUGUAUUGGUGAGCAGCCCCGACCAUACAUUCACAACCUUUAGGCAGCCUCCCACAAAAGAUGACUUCAUCACAAGGAUUCUGCCAAGAUUUCCGCCAAGAUUUAGACUUUGGUCUGGUGAUAACAAUCAUCAUCCUAUUUUUCCAACUGAAGAGAAGGCGACAAGUACAACGGGCUCGCAAAAGAGAACCAGUAGAGAACUGGGAUGACAGUUUUGUAGGAGGGCGAUGUCAGUGCUGCGGAGCCAGGAAUUGAUAAAGAAAACAUCCAAGCAGGAGUUCCAGGACGCAGUUCUCAUUUUUGCAAUUUGAGCAAUGUUCAGUAGUACUAGGGAUGUAAUAAUAGUUUGGGUGAAUUAAAUGUAACGCUGUUAAAGUUAAGUUGUUAUCUUUCAUGCGUUAAAUACAAUGCAUGUGGAUCACGGUGUGCUGCGAGGGGAAUGUUAUCAACCCCGCUCUCCUCUGUUAAAAUCAAAGCCGUCACCAGCUUUUAAGACAGUUUCUAAUUAACGGGGUUUAUCGAAUAUAAUCAGCCAGGAAGAACAAAGGCAAACGAGCCACGUGAAAAAUAAAUACAUAGUAGUUUUAGGUACGCCAAACUGCACACUACUCGGCUGUUACUCCUCCGCAUCAUGAAAAUUCAAGGAAUGCAGAAAGAUGUCAAAAAUACGUCAUUAUACUCGACUCAGACCUCUGACGACUUCUAAAGACAAGAAAUUCUGAGAACAACAAAGCCAAUUUUCAGCCAUCCAAAGUUUUACCCCAGCACUCUCACUAUCGAAUAGUAUAUUUGAAAGGGCAACGUUUUUCAUUUCACGAAAACUUUUAGCUUCAUAGGCACUUCAUUG